UCAUGGAAUCUGAAGAGAAUCUAAAUAGCCCACUGGGUCCAGGAAGCAGACAGGACUCUGGCCACCUGAAAUUGGGAACUAUGACGUUACUUACUCCAUUUUCUCUGAGUUUUCCUGCCCUGGCUCCACCCUUCCCUCUCUUUCCCAAUCUACUCUAUUCGUGUGAGACCAUGUGGACCCAGGCUAUCCUGUCUCCACAGAUUGAUGUUCUCAGCCAGCCUACCCUGUCUCCAUAGAGUGACAUCAUCCUGCUUCCGCUACAGACAGCCUGGCACUCUUUCAAGCUUUAGAAUCAGGCAGUUCUGAGCAAGGUGCCAUGAUUAGCCCCUACUGGACAAGCCUGUUCUCAGCCAAUCAGAAUGAAACUGUAUAAAGUGCUUGCUCCCAAGAUGCUCUGGAGUGGAGAAGCAGGAGAGUCCAGGGAUGGAGCGUUUUGGAGUGGGAUAGACCAGAACCUCUUCUUUCAAGGGACCAGCUGGAAAUGCUUGCUUGGUUCUGGGAAGGAGAUUCAAGACUCAAUGUACAGAAGAGAUGGAAGGCUGGAUGUUGCUGUCAUCAAUCGAGUGGUGAUCAACUCCAAAAGAUGGAUGUAGAUGACAGUGGAAAGAGACAGGGCCGUGUGAGGAAGGAAGGAGCUUGCUUCAACUACUGGCAGUGUUUGGCUUCUUCUCUUGGCCGUGGUUACAUACAUGUCAACACCGUAAUUACUCAUGAAACUUCGUAGUACAGCCUAGGCUUUCUUUCACGCCUAUAAAAUGCUUCAUAAUGCAAA